CAUGACAGUUUGCAGUUGAUGUUACAUAAUUUUCUGCUACUCAGGAACUCACAAGUCUUUGGGAAUAUGACCUAGAGAGAGUCCCCAAAUUAGAGCCCCCAGCGUCUCUCCCUGGGGAAGGACUGGCGUGGGGGCCUCCUGGGGAGAGUGGAGCUCCCUCUGCUGCGACUGUUCUCUCCUCUUCCCUCAGGCUCUCCAGCACCAAGAGGGCCGUGAAGGCGGCCUUGGCAGAUGACUUUGACACACCCAGGGUGGUUGAUGCUAUCCUGGGCCUUGCACACCACGGGAAUGGACAGCUCAGGGCGUCCCCGAAGGAACCCGGAGGGCCGAGAAGUCCUGCUGUGUUUGGUGCCAUCAUCUCUUACUUUGAACAGUUUUUUGAAACUGUUGGAAUUUCUCUGGCAAAUCAACAGUGCGUUUCAGGAGACGGCAGCGAGGCUACCUUGCAUGGUGUGGUGGACGAGCUGGUGCGGUUCCGGCAGAAGGUC
rnacentral:sRNA from 1 species